rnacentral:tRNA from 1 species
GCGCCCUUAGCUCAAUUGGACAGAGCAGCAGACUUCGGAUCUGCUGGUUGGGGGUUCGAGUCCCUCAGGGCGCACCA